rnacentral:rRNA from 1 species
CCUACGGGUGGCAGCAGUGGGGAAUAUUGCACAAUGGGCGCAAGCCUGAUGCAGCCAUGCCGCGUGUGUGAAGAAGGCCUUCGGGUUGUAAAGCACUUUCAGCGGGGAGGAAGGCGGUGAGGUUAAUAACCUCAUCGAUUGACGUUACCCGCAGAAGAAGCACCGGCUAACUCCGUGCCAGCAGCCGCGGUAAUACGGAGGGUGCAAGCGUUAAUCGGAAUUACUGGGCGUAAAGCGCACGCAGGCGGUCUGUCAAGCCGGAUGUGAAAUCCCCGGGCUCAACCUGGGAACUGCAUUCGAAACUGGCAGGCUAGAGUCUUGUAGAGGGGGGUAGAAUUCCAGGUGUAGCGGUGAAAUGCGUAGAGAUCUGGAGGAAUACCGGUGGCGAAGGCGGCCCCCUGGACAAAGGCUGACGCUCAGGUGCGAAAGCGUGGGGAGCAAACAGGAUUAGAUACCCUUGUAGUC